CUGACCGUAAACGAUGCCAACUAGCGAUCCGACGGCGGCUUUCAGGCCCUGUUGGGGAGCUUCCCGGAAACGAAAGUCUUCCGGUUCCGGGGGAAGUAUGGUUGCAAAGCUGAAACUUAAAGGAAUUGACGGAAGGGCACCACCAGGAGUGGAGCCUGCGGCUUAAUUUGACUCAACACGGGAAAACUCACCCGGCCCGGACACCGUGAGGAUUGACAGAUUGAUAGCUUUUUCAUGAUUCGGUGGUUGGUGGUGCAUGGCCGUUCUUAGUUCGUGGAUCGAUUUGUCUGGUUUAUUCCGAUAACGAGCGAGACUCCAGCCUACUAACUAGUGCGGGCGUUGUCACUGCGCUUGUCACUUCUUAGAGGGAUUGGCUGCGCCUAGCGGCACGAAACGGAGCAAUAACAGGUCUGUGAUGCCCUUAGAUGUCCGGGGCUGCACGCGCGCUACACUGGCAAAGGCAGCGUGCUUGUCCGCCUCCGAAAGGAGCCGGUAAACCCUUGAAAAUUUGCCGUGAUUGGGAUCGGAAAUUGCAAUUAUUUUCCGUGAACGAGGAAUUCCUAGUAAGUGCGAGUCAUCAGCUCGCGUUG
rnacentral:rRNA from 1 species